UACGAAGGGGGCUAGCGUUGCUCGGAAUUACUGGGCGUAAAGCGCACGUAGGCGGCUUCUUAAGUCGGUGGUGAAAUCCUGGAGCUCAACUCCAGAACUGCCUUCGAUACUGGGAAGCUCGAGUCCGGGAGAGGUGAGUGGAACUGCGAGUGUAGAGGUGAAAUUCGUAGAUAUUCGCAAGAACACCAGUGGCGAAGGCGGCUCACUGGCCCGGUACUGACGCUGAGGUGCGAAAGCGUGGGGAGCAAACGGG
rnacentral:rRNA from 1 species